GAUGAACGCUGGCGGCGUGCCUAAUACAUGCAAGUCGAGCGAACGGACGAGAAGCUUGCUUCUCUGAUGUUAGCGGCGGACGGGUGAGUAACACGUGGAUAACCUACCUAUAAGACUGGGAUAACUUCGGGAAACCGGAGCUAAUACCGGAUAAUAUUUUGAACCGCAUGGUUCAAAAGUGAAAGACGGUCUUGCUGUCACUUAUAGAUGGAUCCGCGCUGCAUUAGCUAGUUGGUAAGGUAACGGCUUGCCAAGGCAACGAUGCAUAGCCGACCUGAGAGGGUGAUCGGCCACACUGGAACUGAGACACGGUCCAGACUCCUACGGGAGGCAGCAGUAGGGAAUCUUCCGCAAUGGGCGAAAGCCUGACGGAGCAACGCCGCGUGAGUGAUGAAGGUCUUCGGAUCGUAAAACUCUGUUACUAGGGAAGAACAUAUGUGUAAGUAACUGUGCACAUCUUGACGGUACCUAAUCAGAAAGCCACGGCUAACUACGUG
rnacentral:rRNA from 1 species